rnacentral:rRNA from 1 species
GAUGAACGCUGGCGGCGUGCCUAAUACAUGCAAGUCGAGCGAACGGACGUGCAGCUUGCUUCUCUUAUCUUAUCGGCGGACGGGUGAGUAACACGUAGCUAACCUAUCUAUAAGCCUCGGCUUACUUCUGGAACCCGGAGCCAAUACCUGAUUAUAUUUUGAACUGCAUGGUUCAACAUUUAAUGACGAUCUUGCUUCCACUUAUAGAUGAAUCCGUGCUGCAUUAGCUAGUUGGUAAGGUAAUGGUUUACCAAGGCAACGAUGCAUAGCCGACCUGAGAGGGUGAUCGGCCACACUGGAACUGAGACACGGUCAAGACUCAGACGGGAGGCAGCAGUAGGGAAUCGUCAGAAAGGGGAGAAAGCCUGACGGAGCAACGCCGCGUGAGUGAGGAAGGUCUUCGGAUCGUAAAAGUAUGUUAUUAGGGAAGAACAUAUGGGUAAGUAACUGUGAACAUCGUGACGGUACCGAAACAGAAAGCCACGGCUAACUACGUG